CGCCGCUGCCCGCGCCCCCGCUCCGCUCCGCGGUGCCGCCGGACCAGGACCAUGUCGCUGUCGCGCACGGAGGAGAUGCAUCGGCUCACGGAAAAUGUCUACAAGACCAUCAUGGAGCAGUUCAACCCCAGCCUCCGGAACUUCAUUGCCAUGGGGAAGAACUAUGAGAAAGCUCUGGCAGGUGUGACCUACGCUGCCAAAGGCUAUUUUGAUGCCCUUGUGAAGAUGGGUGAGCUAGCCAGCGAGAGCCAGGGCUCCAAAGAACUCGG